AUGGCGAUCUGCCGCGUGCACACAACCAAACCGUUCUCAAGGGAAUCGUUCUACACACAUAUGAGGGCGGUGUGGAGUCUAGCACAGGACGUGAACUUCAAGCCGGUGGGCGAGAACUUGUUCGUCCUCACUGUUAAUUGUCUAGGAGAUUGGAGGAGAGUUACUGAACAGGGUCCGUGGCUUUUCCGGGAUAAUGGUGUUCUGAUUGAGCCGUAUGAUGGUUUUCAGAAGUUGGACCUGGUAAUUCUUGAUAAGAUCUCUGUCUGGAUACAAAUCCAAAACCUACCCCCCGGAUAUAGGAGGAAGGAGGUCCUCGAAGCAUGGUGUAGGAGAGUUGGGGAGGUUAUGUACGUCAAUCUCUCUCCCCGCAGGGAUGGGAAGUCUGUACGAGUUAGGGUAAAACUUGAUGCAAACAAGCCCCUGACUAGGUUUCUGUCGAUCACAAAGAAUGAAGAAAAGGUGUUCUACCAAGUGUUCUAUGAAAAAAUUCCUAAGUUCUGUUUCUUUUGUGGUCUUCUAGGACACACACACCUAGAACAUGGCAAUGGCAAGCAUGACCCGAAAGAUCUGAACUGGGGCGUGAUUGGCUACUAG
rnacentral:rRNA from 1 species